AGCGGAGGAAAAGAAACUAACUAGGAUUGCCUCAGUAACGGCGAGUGAACCGGCAACAGCCCACACUGAAAAUCGCUUCGGCGAAUUGUACAGUGAAGACGGCAUUCUUACCUGAUCACGCUCGUGUAACUCGGCUGGAACGCCGGACCAGAGAGGGUGCAAGUCCCGUGCCACGAUUGUGAGAAGGAUAGACACCGUUCUAAGAGUCGGGUAGUUUGGGAAUGCUGCCCUAAUUUGGAGGUAGACUCCUUCUAAGGCUAAAUACUAACGAGAGACCGAUAGUGCACAAGUACUGUGAAGGAAAGAUGAAAAGAACUUUGAAAAGAGAGUUAAAAGACUUGAAAUCGUUGAGGAGGAAGCAGUGCGUUUGGCACAGCCUUUCUCAAAAAUGUCCUGCGGGGCAUGGGGAGAGGAAGGUGGAGUCUGCUACGCGGGACUCGAGCCGUAGCGUCAACUGUUAGUUUUCGCGAAAGGCAGAGAAACGCUAGUAGGCGCUGGCCGCACUGGCCCGUCUUGAAACACGGACCAAGGAGUCUAGCCUAUGUGCAAGUACAGGGGUUUAAAACCCGCAUGCGCAACGAAAGUAAUCUCUGGCUCAGCAGAGGCCGCAAUAGCGAGCUCAGCAGAUAGGCUGGGACCCGAAAGAUGGUGAACUAUGCUUGGGAAAGGCGAAGCCAGGGGAAACUCUGGUGGAGGCUUGUAGAGGUUCUGACGUGCAAAUCGAUCUUCUGACCUGAGUAUAGGGGCGAAAGACUUAUCGAACCAUCUAGUAGCUGGUUCCCUCCGAAAUUUCCCUUAGGAUAGCUGGAGCUAGGCAGUUUUACCGGGUAAAGCGAAUGAUUAGAGGUCUGGGGGAUGAAACAUCCUUCACCUAUUCUCAAACUUUAAAUUGGUAAGUGAGGAAGUUACUUCAGUGAACUUCUUCUUGAAUGCGUGCUCCAUGUGGGCCAUUUUUGGUAAGCAGAACUGGCGACGAGGGUUCAACCUAGGGCGAUGUUGAGGCGACGAAUUGACUGCUCACAGAUGGAAAGGUGUUGGUUCAUUUAG
rnacentral:rRNA from 1 species